AUUGAACGCUGGCGGCAUGCUUUACACAUGCAAGUCGAACGGCAGCGCGGGCUUCGGCCUGGCGGCGAGUGGCGAACGGGUGAGUAAUGCAUCGGAACGUGCCCAGUAGUGGGGGAUAGCCCGGCGAAAGCCGGAUUAAUACCGCAUACGACCUGAGGGUGAAAGCGGGGGACCGAAAGGCCUCGCGCUAUUGGAGCGGCCGAUGUCGGAUUAGCUAGUUGGUGGGGUAAAGGCUUACCAAGGCGACGAUCCGUAGCUGGUCUGAGAGGACGACCAGCCACACUGGGACGGGGACACGCCCCAGACGCCUAGGGGAGGAAGCAGUGGGGAAUUUGGGACAAGGGGGGCAACCCUGAGCCAGACAUGCGGCGGGCGGGAGGAAGGCCUUCGGGUUGUAAACGGCUUUUGUUGGGGAGGAAACCCUCUGGGCUAAUACCCCGGGGGGAUGAGGGUACGGGAAGAAUAAGCACCGGCUAACUACG
rnacentral:rRNA from 1 species